AAGAAACACGUCAAAUUGGAAAAAAAAAUUGAAUGUCCAUGAAACGUUAUUUUCAGCCCACUGUGCGGCGCGGCGUCGUCGGCGAGGCCGCGUCAUCCAUCCAUCACGUAGCUCAUCAUCCACUAUUAAUAGAACUUGCUAGUGUAUACUAGUGUUUCAUUCUUGGAAUUCCGCUCACAGUAAACAAUAUCGUCAUUCUCGCAAAAAUGAACCCAAGGUAUUAUGAUCCUUUUCCGAUAUAUUCAUUCAUCCGGUUAAUAGAACAGAAACUCAACGUGAACGUUUGAUAACCUAUUUAUCGGGAGGUCGUGUUUGUAAACAUAGCACACGAUUUUACUCACGCUCAAACUGUUUUAUAUCUAGAGGUCAUAAUUUUUUAAACAUCGACGUGAUAUGGAGAUGAUUAUUAUGAAAUAACAGCUUGAUGGGUAAAUGUUAUUAUAACAAUGAUAGCAAAACAUUUUAACAAUGAAGUAUAAUAAAGACGUUUUCAAUUGUCAGUUUCUUAUUCAUAGCUGUCGAACAAAGUAAAUAGUGGCUAUAUUAUAGUUAAAUACGGUAUGUGCGUGUGCAGGGUACAAUGAUUGUAAACAGUAAACACGGGGCAUCGUUCGCGGCAAACAGCUCCGAGAAUAUUCCGCUGGACUCCGCUCUGACACAAACACAUCACACACUACACCGGAAAUACCCACCCGGUUGCACCACGUUCCAAAUACAAACGCAGCCAAUUCCUAACAAUAUUUGGACAAAAACUGGUCAUAUGAUGCUAAGUAUGAUAAUACAACAUUUGAUAUUGUUAUUAACGGAUUUAAAAUUGUUGAAGCAAGUUUUGAGAUAGAUAUCAUUAACGUUUUUACACAUUAGUAGGGGUAGGGGCAGCUUUGAUAUGCAUGUAAUGUAACAAUAGGGGCAAUUAAUAUAAUAAAUAACAUUUGCUGGAAUUUUUACUGUGAAUGCGGGCUCGUGUUUGUUCGGGUGAGGGAUAAAAUGAAAGUGUUUUACUGCUAACAGUGUUACUGUUAUUAAUACACCAUCAUGUAAACCUAAGUUUAAGUAAAUGCAUACACAAAUUGUAUUAAUUUCUAAUGUAAACGGUGCCAAAGUCAACUACCACGUGCUUUUGAUGUGAAUAAGUUACACUGAACAAAAAGAUGCGGUGAUUGGGCAUUUUAUAUCAAAUUGUACCUGGAACUCGUAAGACGUUAGUUUAAUUGUUUGUUUUCCUUAGAUGAGCCUCAAUAUCCAAGUUUGGCGAGGAGUUUUUGCUACGGUGUCAGUAACCGGCGAGGGCACGGUCACUCACCGGCAUGGCUCUGGCGGCGAGGCGAGUUGUUCCAAGGUGCGGGGUGCGCGGCGGCGGCGCGGGCGGCGCGACGUCCGGCGCCUCCUGCUCAAAGACGUAAAUAGGUUCAAUGACCCCGACCUUGACGGCGCCGACGCAAACUGUAUUGUCUUCGCUAUACAUAUUUAAACAAUAAUUACAUAACACAACACACGAUAACAUAUUUUUAGUGAAGCAGGCUGCUAUUGAGUGAUACUUCAUGCGUACUACAAUUUAUCUUAUCAAAAUUUUAAAUAAUCAAUAAUAUUUAAACUAUUCUAAACAAUCAUUAAUACAAAGUAUCUAAUGUUUUGUACAUUGAAUACUUAAAAAAAACAAUUAAGCCCAUUCCGUAACAUAACAUUUAAAAUGAUAAAGAAUAUUAAUUCUCAUAUUAAUUAACGAGCGUGGCGCUAAUUCAAAUAUUUCUCUUGUACUAGUCAAUUCCAAUAUAAUGUGUCAAAGGUUGGGUUGGGCGGCGGUGGCGUCGGCGUCUAUUGAAACAAUAGCACGUGGGAACUCUGCGAUGCCUACGCGGUUCCCACGCGCGAGCACCCGAGCCGCGCCGCAUUGGAUUCUUGUCCGCUAGCCGCGGCCCGGAAGAGGCGCGUGCUAUUAUUUUUUACCACUAGUAACACUUUCAUACAAGGAAAUGUCAUGAAUAAAUUGUUACAACAUGCUGCCUUUGAUGCUCUAAAAUUCUCACGACAAAAUAAAUUUGUCAUGUCAUUUCUCUA